AAUUUCAUCUAUAUAAACCCCCAGAUCAGAAAAGGCUAGACUGCAUAAGUGCAUACAUAGGUGAGUAAAACUACAGUAGUAUUCUGCUAUUCCAUCAUUUCGAUCUACUCUUCUCAUCUGAUCUAAACCAGCAACUCUGAUCUACAUACAUUGCAUCACCAGGUUUUUACUGCAGGAAUAUCAUUUGUUUUCUGCUAGAACAGUUUCUCAUUUCUCCGCCGCACAGUCCAAACCCUAUUUUCCAGAUCCUCCGUCAAUAAUACCCCCAAAAGCGUCGCCACCACUGCCUCGAUCCUCGUCACAGCACUGUCCCGUGGUGUUUUUGAGUUUUAGAGGAGAAGACACUCGCCAGGGCUUUGUUAAGUCCCUGCACCAGGCUUUGUGUUUUGCAGGGGUCCCAGCGUUCAAAGACGACGUUGAUCUCACGAAAGGGGGUCGGAUCCAGCGAGGGUUGAUGGAUGCGAUUCAACAGUCCUGGAUUUUUGUCCCGGUAAUUUCUUCCAACUAUGCCUCCUCGAAGUGGUGCCUUGAAGAGCUCGCGGAAAUCAUGAAACGCGUGAGAAUGGAGAGCAGGACUGUUUUCCCGGUGUUUUACGAUGUACGGCCCACGGAUGUCCGGCACCUCAAGCCUCCGUUCUCCGCCGCGUUUGCACAGCUUGAGGAGGAUUGCCGGAAGGUGAAGGUAUGGAAGCGUGCCCUAAGUGAAGUAGCCGAGUUUUCCGGAUUUGACCUCAUGGACACCUACCAGAGCCUGUGACCUACUCUGAUACCAAUAAUUGUCAUCAAGUGCAUGCUCAUCACUAGUAGUGUGAAAACACAACUUUAGUUUCUUAUACUUGAUGAGCAGUUAGCUAGCGUGUCACACAGUUUCAAUGGCAGAAUAUUGAACUCGACUCUUCAAGCCACCCUCGAACAAGAAGCUCAGAUCAGCUCGGUCUUACUUUCUUGUACCCGACUGCAACCUGGCCUCCAGCUACCUGCAGGGUACAUAUAUACUUCAAUUCUUUUCUUCACCACCGGCCUCUCCGCCAUCGCGCAGCCGCUUCCUCGUCGACAUCCCGCCCUGCACCGCCUCCAAGCCAUAACUAUAUAUCUCUCAAGUCUCUGCUAAGCAUGUACUAUCUCUGAUCUCAACUUCAAAAUGGCCUUAUAAUAUUUCUUUAUUAAUAUAACGCAGGGAUGAAGCGAAAUGCAUUGAAGAUAUAGCCCAAGUGGUGGGGAAGAAAGUUGAAGCAUUAAAGAGAAAAAAGGUUGAAUAUCAUCAGGCUGCAUUAAGCUUACUAUCCACAAUGUAAUUGUCAACAGAUCAGAUCAAUGACCAUCUUUUUGUGGGGAUCGAGUAGAUGCUUUAAUCUAAGAGGAAAAAGAAAAGGCUCUUCUCAUCCUUGAUGGCAUUGGUUGUGUACACUGGCUAAGACCAUUGGCUGGAGGAUUAGUAUGUUUUGCUUGAUUGGUAGAAUAGGGAGGUAAAUCUAGUUGAGUUGGUCAAGUUAGGGUUGUUAACAUCUUGGGAUAGCCGUUGUUGUAGGCUUUUUCAAUAUUAGAAUAAUUGUAGUGAGUACAUAUAAAUCAGUCUCAAAUGUGUCCAAUUCUAUUAUGUUUAUAUUGGUUAGUGAGUGUAUUUAAUUUUUACAUGAUA